rnacentral:rRNA from 1 species
UACGGAGGGUGCGAGCGUUAAUCGGAAUAACUGGGCGUAAAGGGCACGCAGGCGGGUUUUUAAGUGAGAUGUGAAAUCCCCGGGCUUAACCUGGGAAUGGCAUUUGAGACUGGGAAGCUAGAGUACGUUAGGGGGGGGUAGAAUUCCACGUGUAGCGGUGAAAUGCGUAGAGAUGUGGAGGAAUACCGAAGGCGAAGGCAGCCCCUUGGGACUGUACUGACGCUCAUGUGCGAAAGCGUGGGGAGCAAACAGG